rnacentral:rRNA from 1 species
AGCAGCCGCGGUAAUUCCAGCUCCAAUAGCGUAUAUUAAAGUUGUUGCAGUUAAAAAGCUCGUAGUUGAAUUUCGGGGUUAGUAGGUUGGUCAUGCCUCUGGUAUGUACUGGUCUCACUGAUUCCUCCUUCCUGAUGAACCUUAAUGCCAUUAAUUUGGUGUUUUGGGGAAUUUGGACUAUUACUUUGAAAAAAUUAGAGUGUUUAAGGCAAGCUAACGCUUGAAUACAUUAGCAUGGAAUAAUGAAAUAGGACGUUCGAUCCUAUUUUGUUGGUUUCUAGGAUUGACGUAAUGAUUAAUAGGGAUAGUUGGGGGCAUUAGUAUUCAAUUGUCAGAGGUGAAAUUCUUGGAUUUAUUGAAGACUAACUACUGCGAAAGCAUUUGCCAAGGAUGUUUUCAUUAAUCAAGAACGAAAGUUAGGGGAUCGAAGACGAUCAGAUACCGUCGUAGUCUUAACCAUAAACUAUGCCGACUAGGGAUCGGAUGAUGUUAAUUUUUUAAUGACUCAUUCGGCGCCUUA